rnacentral:rRNA from 1 species
UGCAGAAUCCCGUGAACCAUCGAGUCUUUGAACGCAAGUUGCGCCUGAAGCCGUUAGGCUGAGGGCACGUUUGCCUGGGCGUCGUAUUUUGUGUUGCCCCCACAUCCAACCCUACUUGUAGUAAGUAUAUUCAUGUACCGUUGGUCCGUUGGGGUGCAGAAAUUGGUCUCCCGUAUCGAGUCUACGGUUGGCCCAAAUGGGUGCCUUCGGCGACGGGUGCACGACAAUUGGUGGUCGAGAAGGCCCUCAAGUAUUUGUUGUGGAUUUUCGGUUGCCGGGGCAGUAAUGACCCGCGAGCGUCGUCCCACGACGAUGCAGUGCUCAUAGAUGCCGACCCCAGGUCAGGCGGGAUUCACCCGCUGAGUUUAAGCAUAUCAAUAAGCGGAGGAAAAGAAACUAACAAGGAUUCCCUUAGUAACGGCGAGCGAACCGGGAAUAGCUCAGCUUUAAAAUCAGGUGGCUUUGUCGUCUGA